UUUUGAUCGUAAAAACACAAGAAAAAUUCUAAAACUGCCUCAGAAAGUGGCAGGAGUGAUGGUGCCAGGACCCAUGUGGCUGAAUGGUUCCUGGAGUGGGAAACAAUGCUCGAGAUGAUGGCUUAAGGCAAGUUCAGUGAGUUGUCCUAGGAAGACUCUGAAGAUGACUAGCAAACCUGGAACGCGACACCACAGACCUGACAGCUAUUAAACAUCAGCACCUUGUUUCUCAUGGCUCUGGAGGCAGGGGACCCCAGACUAAGACAUUGGCCUCCGGCUGGAUGUCAAUGCCCAGGAAGACCCCAGAGGACAUGGGGUGAAUGUGGUGGCAUUGCCACCAGGGACAACGGCAGGGACAACUAACCCUGUAGCCAUGGACAGACAUUGGGCUGUUGCAGGAAGAAGCAUUAAAUGCUGAGGUGUUUGGCCAUUGAAAUUUUAAGGUUUGUUCUUGCUGUAAUUA